GCAUCGGUGGUUCAGUGGUAGAAUACUCGCCUGCCACGCGGGUGGCCCGGGUUCGAUUCCCGGCCGAUGCA
rnacentral:tRNA from 2 species